rnacentral:lncRNA from 1 species
CUGGCGUGGGAGGGUGACUGGCGAGAGGACAUGUGUUCAUGGUGCCUGUGUCCUUCAUAACUUGGGUCACAGCAGUUUCCAACAAGAAAGAGAACUGAAACAACCAGGGAAUUCCCUGGCAAGGAGAAGUCCUGCCCAGUCUGCAUCUUUCAGAAGCCAGGAGGAAUGCCCCAGGUUUGUGGGUAGGAGUAUGCAUACACAGUGCUGGUUGUUGGCUUUCCGGAGGCAGAUGGGAGCUGGAAGUCUCACGAAGGGAGAGUAAGAGCCCGAAGGGGCUUUCUCCAACAUUAGACCAGUGAGGCUUCUGCAGCCAGACGGACUCAGGUCUGAGGCUUGGCUCCUACGUGCAACAACUCAAGCAAGUUAUGCAGCCUUUCUGCACCUCAGUUUUCUGCUCUGUAAAAUGGGGACAAAUUGCUGUUGUUGUGAGGACUCAAUGAGAUAUGUGGAAAGUGCCAAGCACGCGGUGAGAAUUGAUAACCGAUUCAUUACAAUGCUGGCUAAUACCCACAGGAACACUGAACUCCACUGUGUGGGAGCUUGAGGGGCCUGUGCUGCCCAUGCCGAGUGUCCACCAUCUCACACUGCUUCUAACACCUUCAAGCCAUCUCCUGAAUCUGGAAUAGUCAUCAUGAGCUGGAGGCUUCCUCAGAAGAACCCUAAAAUCAAGGGGGAUUCUGGUGCCAAGAAAAAUAGCCCAACCCAGCUUCACAGCUGUGAGCCUCCAAUGCGCCCCAGGAAGCUGCCAUCACCAUGGGUAGCGCGACCUGGCUUGAUUUUGCCAAAACAAAGGAAAAUUCCUCCAGCAAUUUCUGUGAAUUUGUUUUGCAAAACUGAAUUGUCUGCUUUUAAUUCCCCUAUACCAAUUAAAUAAAAAUUGGAAUUUAAAAUCCAGUGAAUGACAGAAACCUCACUUUGGAGUGGAUGACAGACCCCACGCAACCUGGGGUCUGGGGUAGAGAAGUGAGAUGCUGGGAACUUCCAGGGAGUGGCGG